GUAGUCUCGCACAGAUGCAUAUCAAUAAGCGGAGGAAAAGAAACUAACAAGGAUUCCCCUAGUAACGGCGAGUGAAGCGGGAAGAGCUCAAAUUUGAAAUCUUAAAGGGUUUCCCUUUACGAAUUGUAGUUUAAAGAAGUGUUUUCUGUUGAGGUUUUGGUAAAAGUUCUUUGGAAUAGGACAUCAUAGAGGGUGAGAAUCCCGUAUUUGACCUUUACUUUCAACUUUGUGAUACACUUUCAAAGAGUCGGAUUGUUCGGGAAUGCAGUCCAAAAUGGGUGGUAAAUUUCAUCUAAAGCUAAAUAUUGGCGAGAGACCGAUAGCGAACAAGUACCGUGAGGGGAAGAUGAAAAGAACUUUGAAAAGAGAGUUAAACAGUACGUGAAAUUGUCAAAAGGGAAGCGUUUGACACCAGUGUUGUUUUUCUGAAAAUCAAUUAAAGAACUGUUUAUGCUAAGUUGUUUAGACUUUAUCAGCUAAUCUGCUUAGUUUUGAGCUUUUCUUUAAUGCACUUUUCAGUUAACAAGUCAACAUCAAUUUCUUUUGCUGUAAAAAAGCUUGAGGAAGGUGGCUUGAGAUUCGUCUUAAGUGUUUAUAGCCUCUUGCCUAUGCAGUCGGAGAGAUUGAGGUCUGCAGCGUAGAUCCUUCGGGGCUAAAUGCAUUUGAUGCUAAGUUAUAGCAUUUUAUAGACAACUUGUUGACUAUGAUUUGUCUUGUAGCUUACUCGCUUAUGUUAUUUUACCUACGCUUAGGAUGUUGAACUCUAUCACACACAG
rnacentral:rRNA from 1 species